rnacentral:tRNA from 1 species
GUCGAGUGGCUUAGUGGCUAGAAUUCACUUUUUUCAAGGUGAUUAAGUGGGGUGUCCAGGGUUCGAACCCCAGCCCCUACA